AGACGGAGGGCGCAAGCGUUGUUCGGAAUUACUGGGCGUAAAGGGUACGUAGGCGGUUUAUCAAGUCAGAUGUGAAAUCCCCGGGCUUAACCUGGGAACUGCAUUUGAAACUGAUAGACUAGAGUGAGUGAGAGGUUAGUGGAAUUCCAGGUGUAGCGGUGAAAUGCGUAGAGAUCUGGAGGAACAUCAGUGGCGAAGGCGACUAACUGGAACUACACUGACGCUGAGGUACGAAAGCGUGGGGAGCGAACAGGAUUAGAAACCCGGGUAGUCC
rnacentral:rRNA from 1 species